AAGUCGUAACAAGGUUUCCGUAGGUGAACCUGCGGAAGGAUCAUUAGAAAAAUUUUCUCCCGUUUUUAUGGGAGUUAUUUGUAUUCAAUUCCACCCUUAAAAAUUUUAAAGCAUAUAAACUUUAUAUAUAAUAAAUAAAUAAAGAUAACUUUCAACAACGGAUCUCUUGGCUCUC
rnacentral:misc_RNA from 1 species